rnacentral:lncRNA from 1 species
UCACAAAGAGAGAGAGAGAGAGAGAGAGAGAGAGAGAGAGAGAGAAAACAUAAAUUAAUUAUGGGAACAGUAGCAAUGGCCAAAGGUCAACUUUGGAAAUGACGUAGUCAGGGUACCACCUUGUCUUACAAAGAGUGGAUGAUAAAUAAAAGGGUUUGGUAAAAGGAAUUUCAAGCAAAAACAUUUCCAUAAAUAAAGCAGAGGUGUGAACCAUAGAAGGACUUGGUGAAAGAAGUGUCACUUACAGUAUAGAGAUAUUGGAAACAAAGUAGCAGUAAAUGAUACCAAAAUCAUUGGGAACUAACAUGACGAUAUCUAAAGCUAUGAUUUCUAAACACAUGUUUCUGUAGCUGGCCUUUGCUACUUUGUGAGUUCUUUUCCCCCCCAUCAUUUAUCACCCUGGUUUCACCUUCUAUCUCUAGAUAGGAGAGAAAGAAGGAUAGAGGGAAGAGAGAGAAAGAGAGAACCCUGAAUCUAAUUGUUUCCUUUUGUUUCUUCUUUGAGCACAUCUACUAACAAACCAAAGCAACUCCCACCCCUAAACAACCAACAACCACUGACCCCACCUAUCAGGGCCCUAGCAUUUAUAUACCCUCUGAAAAGUUCCCAGAAUUCCAAACAUCACGAUAUACUUGCAAAAACUAUCUGCAGCUGGUAUGUC